rnacentral:lncRNA from 1 species
UAGCUAUAAUCCUUUAGAAAGAGUAUAAGAAGCCUCACUCACACCAUCGAAGAUAAAUCAAGCAAAUCAACUUGACCAACUGCAAAAGAUAUCCUCAAAUAAGUGAGGAAUCUUUAUUGCAUGCACGAACUGCCUCUAGAUAAGAACGCGCAGGACAUUUUUUUAUGGUUAAUUUCUUCCCCUUCAAUAAUGCUCUAUCAAAAGAGGGCUAGAACUUCCUAAAACAAACAACGAAAAGUGGACAAAUUUUUAUAAAGACCGAACUCACAAAGAAUGAAAGUUGAAGGAAUAAAGAAUAGAAAGAACGAAUUUAUUUUUUUGAUGAAGCAUAUUUCUCACAUUACUCUAUCAUCAUUUUUCAAUAUAUACAUAUCACUAUAGCCAUGU